rnacentral:rRNA from 1 species
AUUCGGGUCUUUUUCAAGGCUCGUAAUUGGAAUGAGAACAAUCUAAACACCUUACCGAGGAUCCAUUGGAGGGCAAGUCUGGUGCCAGCAGCCGCGGUAACACCAGCUCCAAUAGCGUAUAUUAAAGUUGUUGCAGUUAAAAAGCUCGUAGUUGGAUUUCUGGUCUGGAUGGCCUGGUCCGCCCCGAGAGGGGUCGUGAUUGGUGCAGUUCAGCCAUCUUUCGCUCAGACCAUGUUGACUCUUUAUUGAGUUCAGUGUGGGAUGGCGAUCAUUUACUUUGAGAAAAUUAGAGUGUUCAAAGCAGGCUUACGCUAUGAAUACAUUAGCAUGGAAUAAUAAGAUAAGACUUCGGUCUUGUUUUGUUGGUUUCAGACUGAAGUAAUGAUUGAUAGGGAUAGUUGGGGGUGCUCGUAUUCAACGGCCAGAGGUGAAAUUCAGUGAUUCGUUGAAGACGAACUUAUGCGAAAGCAUUCACCAAGGAUGUCUUCUUUAAUCAAGAACGAAAGUUGGGGGAUCGAAGACGAUCGGAUGCCGUCGUAGUCUCAACCAUAAACUAUGCCGACUAGGGAUUGGUGGACGUUCGGUUUAUGACUCCAUCAGCACCUUAUGAGAAAUCAAAGUCUUUGGGCUCCGGGGGGAGUAUGGUCGCAAGGCUGAAACUUAAAGGAAUUGACGGAAGGGCACCACAAGGAGCGGAGCCUGCGGCUUAAUUUGACCCAACACGGGAAAACUUACCAGGUCCAGACAUAGUGAGGAUUGACAGAUUGAAGAUCUUUCUUGAUUCUAUGGGUGGUGGUGCAUGGCCGUUCUUAGUUGGUGGAGUGAUCUGUCUGGUUAAUUCCGUUAACGAACGAGACCUCAGCCUACUAAAUAGUCCUUUCAUUCGAUUCGAAUGGAUCGGACUUCUUAGAGGGACUUUGGGUUUUUAGCCCAAGGAAGUUUGAGGCAAUAACAGGUCUGUGAUGCCCUUAGAUGUUCUGGGCUGCACGCGCGCUACACUGGUGCAUUCAAAAAGCAAACUUCACCUGAAUCGAAAGGUUUGGGUAGUCUUUGAAAGUGCACCGUGAUGGGGCUAGAUUAUUGUAAUUAUUGAUCUUCAACGAGGAAUUCCUAGUAAGCGCAAGUCAUCAGCUUGCACUGAUUACGUCCCUGCCCUUUGUACACACCGCCCGUCGCUCCUACCGAUCGAUCGAUCCGGUGAAAUCUUAAGAUCGAUUUUUGGUAACGCCUUCGGGUGAUGCCAGUUUUCGAGAAUUUGAUUAAACCUUAUUAU